rnacentral:rRNA from 1 species
AUACGGAAGGUCCGGGCGUUAUCCGGAUUUAUUGGGUUUAAAGGGAGCGCAGGCGGGGAUGCAAGCGUGACGUCAAAUUUCGGGGCUCAACCCCGUCUCGCGUCGCGAACUGCGUCCCUUGGUUGCGGGAAGGGGAGGCGGAACUCGUGGUGUAGCGGUGAAAUGCAUAGAUAUCACGAAGAACUCCGAUCGCGAAGGCAGCCUUCCGGCCCGUCAACGACGCUCAUGCUCGAAGGUGCGGGUAUCAAACAGGAUUAGAUACCCUGGUAGUCCGCACAGUAAACGAUGGACACCCGCGGUUUGGCCUGUAUGGCUGAGCCGCCAAGCGAAAGCGUUAAGUGUCCCACCCGGGGAGUACGCCGGCAACGGUGAAACUCAAAUGAAUUGGCGGGG